rnacentral:lncRNA from 1 species
CUAGAUCCUUAACCUGCUGUGCCAUAAGAGAACUCCAAUAUUUUGAUAACAAUACAAAGGAAUUUAUUAAAGCUUUGUAUUCUAUAGGUUUUGGUGUGUAAUGUUUUAAUUAUUAUUUUGUACACAUUCUGCAAAAACAGUUUUAUUUCCUUUUUGCACCAAAGUUGUUUUAAGUAGUGUUUAUAUUUAAAAUAUAAUCUUCACUUUUAUUUUGUUCACUCAUUUUUGUUGAAUUGCAUAGUUAUCAGAGAAUGUAGUCUGGAUUAGUUCUAAUUUUGGGAAUUAAUUAAGAGAUUUCUGUGUGUGUAUGUGGGCCAAUGUAUAGUUAGUUUGGUAAAUGUUUCAUGAACUUUUAAAACUAAGAUUGGUUUUCAGAUAACACGAUACCUAUUUCAUCUAUUUCAUCAACCAAAUCUAUUUCAUCAACCUCAUUGACUUUAUCAUCCAAAUAUAUCCGUACCAAUUUUGACAUCUUAAUCCAUGAAGUGAAUUAAAGUAGACUAGUACUACUUUCUAUCUUUCCUUGUAGUUCUGCAGUUUUCUUUAUGUAUUUUUAUUAUUAUAUUAUUCAAUGCUUUAAGGUUUAUGAAAUGUAUACCUUCUCUGUAGAGCUUCUGCCAUCAUAAGAUUUCCUCCUUCACCUUGUAUUAUACUUUCUACCUUAAAUUUUAUCCUACUAUCAUGACUACAGCUUUCUUUUUGUUAGCAUUUGCCUGAAAGAUCUUUUCCCACUGUUUUCUUUCUAGUUUUCUAGUGAUUUUGCUUUAGAUCUUCCUCUGAGUAUAUCAUAUGUAUUCUCUUUACAAAAAUUAAAUUUAUAUAUUUUCAAUUAAGAUUUCUAACAAAUUAAUAUCAGUGAUAUAAAAAUUGUUAGGUUUCUACUGGUAUUACUGUUGUUAGAUGUUGACAAUGAUUUCAAUAUUUAGUAUUUAUUAAGCAUUUACUUAGCCCCAGACUCUGUUCUUGGUACUUUACAUCAUUAUUUCAUUUAGUCCUCACAACUUGACUAAUAUUUCCACUUUGCAGAUGAGGAAAUGAAAGUUUCUAAGUUGUCCAAAGCCAGAGAGCUCAUAGAUACUAGCUGGCAAAAGUGUUUAUUAUUCAUAGGUUUUGGAGAGGGAAGGUUUUAUCAUCUUAUUUCUAGUCUCGCAUUUGUUCUCCACUCCACACUGAUAAAUAUCCUAUGUAUACACCGUUCCAGCUACACCCAAGAAAUUGUUGGUUUGUCCCAUAGUCCAUACUCCAGUCCAUAACUUUGCACUUGCUCAAGUGAUUACCCACUCCUUUCUAUGGGUAGGGCAAUGUUGUAUAUAAAUAUACUCGAUGUCUACCUACAACCAAACAGUGAAUAUUUUAAAAAAAUCAAAUAUUUUAAUCAAGUAUUUAAAUUUCACCUGCUCUCUCAUCAGAUUUCUCCUCUAAGUUUGAGCGAAGAUGAAAAAUAUUUAUUCAUAUUUAAAAUGAAGGUGAAGAUUUGAUUUUAUUACAGUGUAUUUAGAUUCAUUAUAUCAUGCAAAAAUGUGCAAUAUUUAACAGAUAUUGAACCUUAAUAAAAGUAAUGCCUUACAGAUUUUAUUUAAAAAUUUUCUGUGUAUUACCAAAACAAAGGAAAGAACAUAUAGAAAACUGAAUUCAAGGUUUAACCUAAAGUCCCUAUGACCAUAGAAAAAUUGGUGGUACCGGUGAUGUAGUUCUUAGAGUUCCCAGCAGGGGACAGAAUGUUCAUGUUAAAUCUAAUUAAAUGAAAAUGUUUUUACUCUAAUUCAAGACUGUUUCUAUUUUUAAAUCAAUACAAAAGUCAGAACUUUUUAUCGUUAAAAUUACUAGAAGCUUCUGAUUUGUUAAUUUAAAUUUUCAAGAAUUUAAAUAUAUAAUUCAAAAUAUUGAAAAAUGAGCUUAACAGAAAUAGUGAUGUUCUGUAACAAAAGGCUGAUCCCCAAUACCUGAGCAAAUGGGUAUCCCAAGUACAUUUAGUCAGUAGACACUAAAACCCCUAUACUAAUGGCCAAACUCAGGUCAUUGGGUCUUUCAGUUGCCAAGCCAGACCAUGGACUGGUUCCAAGGACAAAGGGCACCAUGUGGCACUGACCCAGGAAAUUGAGCACUGACCUUAUUUGUUAAUUUUAGAACAUUAAAAAAAAAUUCUUAACUCAAUAUAAAAGAAGUAUUGGUGUUUCAAAAGUGUUUCAAUUCAAAUUGCCUUUGUAAAUCAAAUAAACUGUUUUUAACUUAAUUCUACUUUAGGUCAUAUAAACUCUCUGGGCCUCAGUUUCUCCAUCUGUUCAUGAGU